GACGAACGCUGGCGGCGUGCUUAACACAUGCAAGUCGAACGAAGUGGCGAACGGGUGAGUAACGCGUAAUCAACCUGCCCUUCAGAGGGGGACAACAGUUGGAAACGCCUGCUAAUACCGCAUACUGAAGGAGGGGAUUGCGUCUGAUUAGCUCGUUGGGGGGGUAACGGCCCACCAAGGCGAUGAUCAGUAGCCGGUCUGAGAGGAUGAAAGGCAACAUUGGGACGGAGUAACGGCCCAGAAUCCUACGGGAGGCAGCAGUGGGGAAUCAUCCGCAAUGGACGAAAGUCUGACGGAGCAACGCGGCGGGAGUGAGGACGGCCUUCGGGUGGUAAAGCUCUGUUAAUCGGGACGCGGUACCGGAAUAGAAAGCCACGGCUAACUACGUGCCAGCAGCCGCGGUAAUUC
rnacentral:rRNA from 1 species